GCGGCGCACACACGGCCUGUCAAACCACAGUGGGCGGCUCAGUUCUGCAUUCAACUCAGAGGGAGCGUGCGUUUUACCGAGACGUCUCCGUAGAAACUGUGUCAUGGCCUGUAGGUAGCUGUGAUUUGUGACUAACGUUGAGGCCUGUCUAAAAAGCGAAGUCUUCUAGUUUGGAAGAACCUGAAGGUGAUCGAAUACCCUACUUCCUGUAUAUGCUCAAGAACUCAUAAACACUGGAGCAUGCGUGAAAACAUGACCUAUAGAAGGCGUUUAUCGUUGCUCGUCUCUGGCUUUGUGACAGCAGUUUUCUUGGUCGGGAAAUGCAGAGGACAGCUCGUCAAUUUCCCUCCAUUUGCGACCCAGAACGGCUUCGGUGCACUCAACGCCAUCCAACAGACACCGGCAAGGCUGCUCGGCACAGGUGAGG